rnacentral:rRNA from 1 species
UGGGGAAUCUUGCACAAUGGGGGAAACCCUGAUGCAGCGAUGCCGCGUGAGUGAAGAAGGCCUUUGGGUUGUAAAACUCUUUCGUCGGGGAAGAAAAUGACUGUACCCGAAUAAGAAGGUCCGGCUAACUUCGUGCCAGCAGCCGCGGUAAUACGAAGGGACCUAGCGUAGUUCGGAAUUACUGGGCUUAAAGAGCUCGUAGGUGGUUAAAAAAGUUGAUGGUGAAAUCCCAAGGCUCAACCUUGGAACUGCCAUCAAAACUUUUUAGCUAGAGUGUGAUAGAGGUAAGUGGAAUUUCUAGUGUAGAGGUGAAAUUCGUAGAUAUUAGAAAGAACACCAAAUGCGAAGGCAACUUACUGGGUCACUACUGACACUGAGGAGCGAAAGCAUGGGUAGCGAAGAGG